rnacentral:rRNA from 1 species
CCUACGGGUGGCUGCAGUGAGGAAUAUUGGUCAAUGGGCGAGAGCCUGAACCAGCCAAGUCGCGUGAAGGAUGACGGCCCUACGGGUUGUAAACUUCUUUUGUCAGGGAGCAAUUGGGUCCACGCGUGGGCUUAGCGAGAGUACCUGAAGAAAAAGCAUCGGCUAACUCCGUGCCAGCAGCCGCGGUAAUACGGAGGAUGCGAGCGUUAUCCGGAUUUAUUGGGUUUAAAGGGUGGGUAGGCGGAAUAUCAAGUCAGCGGUAAAAAUUCGGGGCUCAACCCCGUCGUGCCGUUGAAACUGAUGUUCUUGAGUGGGCGAGAAGUAUGCGGAAUGCGUGGUGUAGCGGUGAAAUGCAUAGAUAUCACGCAGAACCCCGAUUGCGAAGGCAGCGUACCGGCCGGUCACUGACGCUGAGGCACGAAAGCGCGGGUAUCGAACAGGAUUAGAUACCCUUGUAGUC